rnacentral:rRNA from 1 species
UACGUAGGGGGCGAGCGUUAUCCGGAUUUACUGGGCGUAAAGCGCGUUAAGGCGGUUGGCAAAGUUGGUUGUGAAAUCUCUGGGCUCAACCCAGAAAUUGCGACCAAUACUGGUCGACUAGAGUGCAAGAGAGGAAGGUGGAAUUCCCGGUGUAGUAGUGAAAUGCGUAGAUAUCGGGAGGAACACCAGUGGCGAAAGCGGCUUCCUGGUCCGACACCGACGUUCAGGCACGAAAGCGUGGGGAGCAAACAGG